GAUGAACGCUGGCGGCGUGCCUAAUACAUGCCAGUCGAGCGAACAGACGAGGAGCUUGCUCCUCUGACGUUAGCGGCGGACGGGUGAGUAACACGUGGAUAACCUACCUAUAAGACUGGGAUAACUUCGGGAAACCGGAGCUAAUACCGGAUAAUAUAUUGAACCGCAUGGUUCAAUAGUGAAAGACGGUUUUGCUGUCACUUAUAGAUGGAUCCGCGCCGCAUUAGCUAGUUGGUAAGGUAACGGCUUACCAAGGCAACGAUGCGUAGCCGACCUGAGAGGGGGAUCGGCCACACUGGAAGUGAGACACGGUCCAGACUCCUACGGGAGGCAGCAGUAGGGAAUCUUCCGCAGUGGGCGAAAGCUUGACGGAGCAACGCCGCGUGAGUGAUGAAGGUCUUCGGAUCGUAAAACUCUGUUAUUAGGGAAGAACAAAUGUGUAAGUAACUAUGCACGUCUUGACGGUACCUAAUCAGAAAGCCACGGCUAACUACGUG
rnacentral:rRNA from 1 species